GCUGACAUAUAGAUUCUGUAAAAUAUCAAAAAGAUUUGAAAAGAUACGUGAAAGAUUUUAUUAGAUCUCUGGAAAGAGAGAGAGAGAGAGAGAGAAUGUAAAAAAAAGGAGAUUUUUUUUUAUUUCUUCUCCACCAUCUUUUCUUUCCUACAAAGAUUUUGUCCAAGAUGGUGAAGGAAUACUUUGCGACUGAGAUAGACAUGGCAAUGACGAGUUGUCACAACGAUCUCGUAGCUUCCUAGCGUGAAUAGAGGAUUAAGUCUUUCAAAGGAUGGGUCUUUGAAGAUGGAGUUGGAGCAAAUUUUUGGCAAAGAAGAAGCAAAGACAUGCGCAGACGUCAAAGGUGCCACACAUGUUUAUCAGCGGGAGGUGGUACAUCGGGGGGUUCAGAAUAUUCACUGUUUUAAAUUUCAUGGGAAGAUUUGUCGUCUUUCCUCCAUUAAUGAUAUUAAGCUACCAAUGAUGUUUUCCAUCUUGUUGUUGCAGAUUUAUUUUUCCUUCACCGAUUCUUCAUUUAUCCAUUGUGAAGAGAUUUUUAUUACAUACUUAAUCUUUUAGUUUCUAGUACUUAUUCAAUGAUUUGAAUUGUUUGUUUUAAUGGUUGUUACAAUUCGAGAUCUGUUUGGAUUAUGUAUUGUGAAAAUAUUUACAGGAAUGGCUAUAGCAAAGAGUAGACGGCUAAUUUUAUAUUUAAAUUGAUAACACGUUAUUUACUUGUUUUUAUAAAGAUGGAUGGCUACGGUGGAAGGCUAAUUUUAUACUACUUACGCAGUGGACGGC
rnacentral:lncRNA from 1 species